UUUUUUUUGGGGUUGACGAGAUCACGUCUUCACGAGCUGACCCUGGGGCAAGUGAUCCGACUUUGCAGUUUGCACCCGUAGAACCGCUACGACAGCAUGCAUGUGCCUUUCUUUUCAGGGCUAACUUCACAAACAAACCUAACUCUUUAAUGAUAGGAUUCCUAACUCUCGUAGGAAGAAAGAUAAGCAAUACUAAAGUUGGAAGCCGAAAUAUAAGUUGUGGUCACAAGGGCCUCAAAUACAAUCUACAUGAUAAGCAGAGUGUGAAACGUCAGCACAUGUAAUCACGUUGAUGUUUUCAUUUAAUUGGAGUGAGUAUUAGUUUACUUUGCUUUCAUGGCUCUAUUCUUAGCACUUAGCAGCAGGUGCAUAUACAAUGUAAUCGAAGAUAUGUAAGGAAACUACAAUAAUCCCUAAAUUAGACCUCCAUAUGCUAAAUGGGACUUGCCUGUGGCUUCUAAAUUUGCUUCGACUCCAACAAUAACCCUCAAUUCUAACUUUUAACAGAGGGCUCCCUAGAGAGGGUGGACGAGAAGAGAAUUUGGAGGUCUCCUCAAAAUAGAGGGUCCAGUAGAAGGUCUAUUAGAGUAUAUUUUUUUGUUUAAACCUCUAAAUUUAAGAUAAAGAUUUAUUUACAUGGCCUAUUGAAGUUGCUCUAAACUCUUCUUCUUAUAUGGUCAUUGUUGUUGUUGAAGCAUCGAGUUUUUGUUCAAACUAUGUAACCUUAGAUGGUCACUGUUGUUGUUGAAGCAUCGAGUUUUUGUUCAGACUAUGUAACCUUGUUGUAGGUACUAUGUAGGGAGUGAGAAUGUGGGAUGUGCAAUUUUGUUUGUGUUCCAAUAAGUGGGGGUGUUCAGUCAUCUAUUAUAUCUUUCUUCUAAGGCUAAUCACAAUGGGGGUUUCAUGGCGAGUUUCAUGACAUUAAUUAGCAUGACACAUCAGCAUUUUUGAUGAUGUGGUACUGAUUUAAUGAGGGAAGAGAAGGAACCAAUUUCAUCCCCAUGACACUCUACUAACUCGUUUCCAAGAUAUUGGAAAUGACGUGAAACGACCACUAUGACCGCCGUUGUUUCAUGGGGGAUCCCCGUGCGCCAAUCAACUAGCAUUUAACUACACUAGUUAGCUUUGGAAACAGUGAAAUGAAACUCUCCAUUGAGAGAUAGUGUUUCAUUCAUCCCCCAAGCUGAUGUCGCGUUUUUGGAAAUAGGGAUAUGAAACCCUCCACUGUGAAUAGCCUAAAUGCCGUUGCUAAUAUUGGUGUUGUAAUUACCUUCUUAAAUGAAUGGCAGAGUCCUACUCUUUAUUUAGGACAGGCUUGGCACUAGCCCAGUGAUAUAGGAAGGUAAUUACAUUAUGACAGGCUUUGCACGAUUUAUUUUGAGAAAAAGGACUAUAAGGUGCUCCAGCCCAGUGAAAUAAUAGCUUACUGGAUCUGGCCCGUUUUCUGGAAGAAGGCCAACAUGACAUUCGUCUUCUUCCGAGGAGAAGCCCGAAAGAAAAGCAGCCCAGCCCUUCUCUAUCCCGUCGGCAGCCUGGCUCGCCAGAAAGAUUUCACCACAUCCGUUAGAGGUCGCAAACUCGCUAGACCGUACAAGCCAGGCAAAUCCGGAAAUCCCCAUGGCGGCGCAGGCGCUGCCGUUCCUCCGGUGGAGCCGGAGCGCCGCCUCCCUCCGCGCGCGCUCCUCCACCACAGCCGCGCCGCACCGCCUCUUCUCCACCCUCCGCCGCCCCUCCGCCGCCGCCCGCUGCGAGGCCGGCUCCAAGGUCAUGCUCAAGGGGAUGGACUACUCGGAACUCGAGGUAAGGGCUCGGCUCAGGACUUGUGGGCUUUAUGUAGUUCGUUGGUUGGUGGCAUGAGCAUGCGUGUGAGAUGAUUUAGCGCGGGUUUUUGUUCAGAAUUGGGUGCAGGCGCAGGGGUUUCGCCCCGGCCAGGCCAUGAUGCUGUGGAAAUGCCUAUACGGGCACAACGUUUGGGCUCAUUGUCACGACGAGCUAACUGGUAAACUGUUUCUUCCUCCUCAUAGUUAGCUUCGAUAGUUUUGACUGUAUCUAGUGCAAUUCAUCUGUUCAGUACUAUUGUGCCAAUAAUCUGACAAGCAUCAUAUUUUAGAAAUAGACGAGAUCGAGUUAUACAUCAGCUGCUGGGCCAUGUUUGGUAUUAGUUAACUAUUGUACCACAUUUCCAAUUUGUCUCAUCAACGAUGCCUUUGUUGUACUAUCAAGUAGAAUUUGUUUUCCGAUAAACAAACUGAGUAACUUUAAAAAUAAUUCUACCUUUGUAUGUUUUAGGUGUGCUGCAUCUUUCUCUUACUAAAUUAUUUUCCAAUGGGGAUCUUUUUUUUUGGUUGGAAUUAUACCUGCAAAUGUGCUUACAAUUCUUCUCUUUAUUGAAGAUAUGUGUCAUAUGUUGUGUUGAGAAUGUUAGUUGAAUGGAUGUGACCCCUUUUUACCUCUAAAAUCCUUCAGGUUUAAACAAGGACUUCAGGAAAAUGAUAACUGAGCGUGCUGAUCUCAGGGCAUUAACUGUGAAGGACAUUCUCACUGCAACAGAUGGAACCCGUAAGGUAGUUUUCUGUGUUGCUGAUCUCUUCCGAAGUGAUUUACAGAAUAUGAUUGAUUUUGGAACACAGGAUGUUACAGAUACUGUUCUCUCUUGAAGAUGGUCCAGUGAUUGAAACAGUUAUCAUUCCUUGCGCUAGGGGCAGGACAACCGUCUGUGUUUCAAGUCAAGUUGGUUGCGCCAUGAACUGUCAAUUUUGCUUCACUGGAAGGUUUGUUUACUUCUGUUGCAAGACAUUUGUUUUCUCUCUUUGGCAGUACUGAUUCUAUGUUUGGUUUCUUUCUUUGACUUAUAUAGGAUGGGUUUGAGAAAACAUCUGUCAACAGCUGAAAUUGUAGAGCAGGCUGUGUUUGCUCGCAGACUAUUCUCUGAUGAAUUUGGAGCAAUUACUAAUGUGGUCUUUAUGGUAAGCAUUCUCUUUAAGUACUUUUGCUUUGACUUCAUUGCAAUGACUAACUUGAUCAUCUUGUUUGACUAAUAGCAUACGAUUUGUAGUUAUAUUUGUGAUUUCUUUCCCUUUCAUGCUGUUCUUCCUGAAGUGACAGCAAAAAUAUGCAUAACUCUCUACUGUAUCUUAAACUACUACUUUCAAGUCGAUUCAUAUUGCUGCUGUUCAUAUAGCACCUUUUUAGUGCACAGUACUGUAAAUUUGACAUUGUUAGUGCAUCUCCUUUGAUGCCAUAUUCAGUUAUUCGGUGCCAUUUUAGAAAGGCGGUGACCUAUAUAUGGUUACAUCUCCUCUUAUUAGUUGCCCAAACCAAUCCUUAUUGACAGUUUUACAUCUGUUCUUUGUUGAGUUGUUAGGCUUCUUGAUGUUGGUUUUGAUGUAUACGUCAUCUGGGCAUCUUUUUAAUGUUUACCUGCUGCAGUUAACUACUAAUAAUGUCUCAUUAUGUAGCCUACAUGAUUUUGAAAUUCUGUUAUUUUUGCUGAUUUCAUGUUAUGCUUUCAUUCACAUCUAAUUUAUUCAGGGCAUGGGUGAACCAUUUCACAAUAUUGACAAUGUAAUGAAAGCCUCAGCAAUAAUGGUUGAUGAUCAAGGUCUUCAUUUUAGUCCUCGCAAGGUUACUGUCUCCACAAGUGGUCUUGUCCCUCAGUUAAAACGCUUCCUCUGUGAAUCCAAUUGCUCGCUGGCCGUCAGUCUUAAUGCAACAACAGAUGAGGUAGUGGUUAUUCUGUUUGGCUGAAAUGCUUUUUUCUUUCUUUCUUAUUUUGCCGAUUUGUAAAGAUACUUGUUUUGCAGGUUAGAAACUGGAUAAUGCCUAUAAACAGAAAGUACAAUCUUAACUUGCUUCUUGGCACCUUAAGGGAGGAACUUUGCCACAGAAAGAAUUACAGAGUUCUAUUUGAAUAUGUCAUGCUUUCUGGGGUGAAUGAUAGGUGAGAAAUAUGCUUAAGUGCCUUUUCCUGCUGUAUCUGUCUAGUCGUAUAUUAUGAAUCUAUUAGCAGAGGUUGCGCGUAAAUCCCCUUUCUGUUAAGGUCUGCAUGCAUCUUUCUUUAAACACUUGCAAAAGGCAAACUUUCUUCCUUCUAAUCAGAAGGCUUUUCGUUUCCUAUUUGGUCAAAGCAUACAUUUAGGCCUACCUGCCACAGUGUGCAGUUGAUGAUGUUGUUAGUGUAAUCAUUAGCUCGAGGUAGAUAAAUUGAAGCUAGACCUUCUUUUCCUUUUUGUAUUAACCUAGUGUUACCAUUAAUCCAUAUGCAAACAGAAUCCUUUUCAGUAUGAACCUUUUUAAGGCUAUCAGAGUUAACUAAGUUUCUGCUUGCACCCUAAAUUGUUAAUUUUUUGGGGGUCAACUAUACUUGCAGUAUGGAUGAUGCGAAGAGGCUUAUAGAGCUCGUCCAAGGGAUCCCUUGCAAGAUCAACCUCAUCUCUUUCAAUCCCUACAGCGGUUCCCAAUUCAAGCCCACACCCGAUGAGAAGAUAAUCGAGUUCCGGAACAUUUUAAUUCAAGGUGGCCUUAUAGUUUUUGUUCGGCUCAGCAGAGGGGAUGAUCAGAUGGCUGCCUGCGGGCAGCUAGGAGAGCCUGGAGACUACCAGCUGCCUCUGCUCCGUGUACCCGAGAAGUUCCAGGUCGCCUUGUGAAUUGUGAUGCUAGACGGUACAGUCAUUAGUAAGCUUGGCCCCGUGAGCAACUUGAUGAACACGUGAAGUAAUUGGCUCGGGAUGGAGAUUCGAUCAUGCACUCGGUGGAAGUUAUGCCAUCUCCGAAGACUGCCCUGGAGUUUUGCGAUAUGGUAUCCACGCGGUGGGUCCUUCAUCUGAGCCUGGAUAUGUAAGAACACAUUUUGGCACGGACACAUAAUGCUUCUGCUGAGGUUGUAGCAAGUUGUGUUGCGUUUCGCACUCUGAUACCGUACCAACGCCGUCCGACUCGGGAAAGCUAAAGCAUUGCGUCGUGCAACUUUGGUCUUUGGGUGCGUGACACUUGGCGUUUCCGCGUAGCCCAUGCUGCGGUCCGAGUCGGAGUCGCCAAAGCUAAAUUCUGCUGCUACCGGUGAUUCGAAAAGCUUGGCUUGGAUUUUGGAAUGAACCUAUCCUACCGGCGAUCAGGAAUGGCAGAAAAGAAUCUCGGAAGGCCUGCAAGGUUUGGCUUGACUGAGCGAGAUACCUUAACCGCUAAGGUGCGCAUGGCAUCACCAACUCACCUGGCCACCCUAGAAGGUAAGGUAAGGGAAAAGGGAAAGCGAGAAAUCUAGCACGAGCCCCCACCCGGAUCAAAGCGCCUCCUUUUCCCAAAAGCAACUCCAUCACACUGCGCAUCAUGGGGCGUCUUUAGCACUAAGCUGCUGCCGAACUGGUAGACACGCUACACGAUCAUCGCGCCUUGCCUUUAGCGGGAGCCCGAUAUUCCACGCUCCACGGCACUGCUGUGUGAUUGCAUGAUGCUUUUGUUUGUGUGGGAGACCUUUGUCAAGUUGGAUGCAUAUAUGCACACGACGAGUUCACGUGUAAAAUGAACUCUUGUUGUGCAAAGUUCAUGUGAAUUUUUCGUGCUCGUUCGAAACCGAUUAACCGACAUUAGAGCAGGGCUAAUAAUUUAGCGCGGUUGACUGUAUACUAGUGCUAUGUCAUAUAUACAUCAUCUAACAGCCCGAUCAUAUAGUAGCUUAAUAUUGAUGUAUAUACUACAUCAUUAUUGAUGUAUGGCUAUAAACUUGCAGCCCGUUUCUCAUCGAUGUCGCAAUCAAAACUUAGACCACCUUAUCAUACUUGCUCUUUAAUAGCAAGAAUGUUUUGCUGCCUCGGCACGGCAAUAAUACACUGCGACGUUUUACCUUCACGCCCCACUUUGGACUAAAUUCUUUUCUUAUCCCUAAUUAGUGCAGGCCAUCCUUUUCAUGGCCCAGCAUCCUCCACAAGAUCUUCUGAUUCAAGGCACCUACGCAUACUUCCUGCAUACGUGCUGUUCCUGUAGAUAUAUUCUUAGGGGAAGAAUAUAUCUACAGGAACAGCAUAUAUGCAGCAAGCAUGCAUGAAGUAUGAAGAAGCUAAUGGUGUUCGGGUGUUAGAAACUAAGCACCAGCGGAUUCUGCGACGGAGAUGUGGUUUUCGAGCUCCGUGGCGUACAUGUCAGGCCAGCCAAGGAAAUCGACAGCUACUCGUUGUUGUUGAUCACACGCGGUCCGACUGAGCUGGGUGAUCAUGCGUGCAUUUCUAGACAGGUCCUUGGGUCCGCCAUCCCACCCUACUCAUCUCUCCAAGUUGUGCAAGCAAAACAAGAGCCGCUACUUAUCAAAAGAAAAAAAAAAAGAGCCGCCAAGAAUAUGAAAUGUUGACUGCCCGCUUGUGCCCGGCAGGCGAAGACACGGUUCCCAGCCGCCUACCGGCGACGUGGACGCCGCAAUUACUUGAUGAAUUCCAUCGCGCGAUGAUUCGCGGUGCCAGCCCGGCUAGAGCAUUAUCACGCAGUGGUGUGUCGCGACGACCAACACGUCUCUAAAUGACUUGCGUCGCACGCGUGUCUCCCCUCUGUCCGUGUCGCCUUGCAAGAGCCCGAGAUCGGGGGAAGGGAAGGGCCAUGAUUCGUGACGCGAUCGACCAUCGUGUUUGGUUUUAUUGGCGUGGCGCUGGACCUGUAACUGCUGCUGCUGUGUGUGCUUGGGAGUGGGUUGCCAGUUGCCGCUGGGCUCUGCGCGGAGGCAGCCAACAGGCGGGGGGGCGGAUCCAUGGAUCGGCGGCGAAAAAGUUGCAGAGCAAAGCGCGAGGACGAGGCAGGCAGGAAGGAACGAAGCGCAUAGGCAUGGCAUCAACCAGGGAAAGCUACACGUAACCUCCCAUACAUAACACGGCAACUCCCCCGGCUCCUCCCUUGAUCGAUCCCUUCCUUCCGUCCACCCGCCACGGCAUCGGCGUGUCGCACCAUGGCAGCGUCGACGCCACGGACGCCGGCGCCGGAAAGGCCGCCGCCGCCCGUGCCCGUGCUCGCUUCCGCGCCCGCUCCUCCGCCGCCUCUGGAGACGCCCCCGCCGCCGUCGCCCUCGUCGCAGGCGGGGGACGAGUACCACACGCCGCCGCCGUCGCUCGACGCGUCGCCGCGGGAGGAGCCCGGCUUCCCCCGCGACGGGAGGGGAGGGGUGCCGCCCCCGCCUCCGAGGAGCCCGCCGCUCGACGCGACGUCGCCGCGGGAGGAGGCCGGUUUGCCCAGCGGCGGGAGGGGGGAAGCGGGAGCGCCCGCCAAGAGCCCGCAUCUCUCGCCCGUGCGCCUCCCCACGCCGCACCUCCUGCCGCCGCCCGCCUCCCCUUCCGGCCAGAAAGGGCAAGAAGGCGGCGCUGCUGCGGCCGCGGCGAGGGCGCGCCCGCAGCUCCGGCUGGCGACGGGGCUCGUCCGGACGCCGUCGCAGGGGUCGGUCGCGACCAAGUCCCCGUCCCCGUCGCCCUCGCCCACGCCGCCGUCGCCGCUGACCCCCGCGCCCACGGGCAACAACGGCAACAAGAGCGGCCAGAGCACGCCCAAGCAGCGCGCGGAGGCCUUGAAGCCGCCGCCGCCGCCCGCGGCCGAGCCGGCGAUCGCGGUGCCGCACUUCGACCGCGUCGAGGAGGCCGCCACGUCGCCGCUGCGCCUCGGCAAGGCGCAGCUCGAUCACCUCCACCACCACCAGCAGCAGCAGCAGCAGCACGCGGCGUCGGCGGCGGCGGAGAACGGGGGCGCUGUGCCUCCCGACGUGGCGGCCGUGGCCGCGGUCGGGGAGCGGAGGGCGCUGUCCGUGACGCUGCGGCUGGCCACGGCGGUGCUCAGCCUCGCGGCCUUCUCGGUCAUCGCCAGCGCCCGGACGUCCGGCUGGGCCGGCGACUCCUACGCCCGCCACCAGCAGUACAGGUCAGUGAUCGCCACUUGCUCACACGUUUCGUCUCGUCCCGGUUUCUUUUUGCCGGUUUCGUCGGACGUGUCCGGUUCCCGACGGUUACGGGAGUUGUUGCUCGCACAAGAACAUUUUCUUCUUCUUCUUCUUCUUCUUCUUCUUUUUAAAAGAAAAGACUCUUGAUCUUGAAUGCAAUGCACCGAUACCAAAUCAAGCAAUUGGGUAAUGAUUUUGAAUAUUUAAAAAACUAUCUACCUAACAUACCACUAGGUAGAGUUCAGGUUCGUAGCCUGUCCAUUCAGAUGUUUCCCUGCUUCCAUUUUCUUAAGCUAACUAAAAUUACAUUCCCGUGCUUGGCAAACGCAUGGCAGGUACGCCGUCGCGGUGAACGUGAUCGUCUGCGCCUACUCGAUCGCGCAAUCGUUUGGCGAAAUCCGCCGCCUGAUCUCGCCCAGGUUCAUAUUCCGGAGCAUGUCGAGCUACUACUGCAGCCUGCUCCUGGACCAGGCAAGUACACUGUACCGAGCAUUUCCUGAACUGAAACUGCUCGUGCGCAAGAAACUGAACCGUUGGUGCUCCGAUCCACGACGGUGCUGCCUGCUGCAGGUUCUGGCGUACCUCCUGAUGUCGGCGUCGUCGGCGGCCGCGUCGCACAACGACCUGUGGGUGUCGAGGUUCGGCACGGACGCCUUCAACAGGAAGAUCAGCAGCGCCCUGUGGCUGUCGUUCAUCGGGUUCCUGACGCUCGCUCUCAACGCGCUCAUCUCCACGGCCAAUCUCUUCAGCAUGGCCUGAAUUCUGAUCGAGGCGUUCACGGAAUCCAGCCAGUACCGGUUGUAAAUUUUGGAGUAAAUAUUGCUGCGGAUUAGCCGGAGGUAUACAUCAUACACGCUGUUGGUGGUACUGGGCCGUCAGAAUACACGCUUGAUCAAGGGCUAAUAGAAUGUUGAAGCCCUUUUUAUGCGCAAAAAUUGACAUUAUAUUGGAGGUAUCUGCUAUGUAGAAUACUCUAAUUGUGACCGAGCUACGCAUGUCAGACGAUACGUACGUCCAUGCGUACUGUUACAGCUCUGCGGCAUGUGACAGAGUGACACUCCUUGAUGCAGCGAAGUAGCGAUGAAAUGGUAGUCUGCCUCUGUUACAGAGGCCUGUACUGAACGUCUGAACCAAGAACAGAGAUCCCUAUAACUAAAAGUAUCUCGAUCUCAAACAUCUGAAGAACCUAAAUCAUCUUCUAGUAGCAUUACAGCAUAGUAUUUGGCAAUUCAGGCCUCGAUCUCCACCUGGCUCACUCUGCUCAACCAGAUGGAGUGCAGGAUCAUGUGGAAGAGGUCGUACUUGAUGGGCCUGGCGUGCCACAGGAAGUGCCGCUGCAGCCGCUUCACGCAGUCGUGCAUCUUCACGUACCUCCGGAGCGGGAUCCCCUGCAGGAUCCGCUUCAGGUCCGGUACGUCCUUCUCGGCGACCACCACCGAGAAGGCGCUCCAGUCCAGCACGUCGCUCAACGGCAGCACGAAGUUGUCGGCGAUGAUCACCGGCACGCACUCGUAGUACAAGGCCUCCACGAUCCGGGGGCUGUUCACCUCGUACCCCAUGGGGCACAGGCAGAAGCGGCUGUUCUUCAUGUGCUGGAUGUAGCUCAUCCGCCGGGACACCCGGCUCGGCAGCAGGCUGUACACCCGCAUCUCGUCGUCCUGCCCGCCGCCCCAGUGCCUGAGGAGCUCCGGCCGGACCCUGCCGUGCACGUUCCCGGCGAAGAAAGCCAGGAUUCCCCGCCGGGAGACCGGCAGCCCGCCGACGUACCGGAGGGGCCGCCGCGGCGUCCGGAUGGUCGUCUCCGGCAGGGAGACGUCCUUCCCGGGGGUGAAGAUCCCCUCCGAGCUAUCGGCGUUGCACAGCGCCUUGAUGGUGUUCUUGCGGAGGUCGCGGUGCGCUGUCGUCGUGUAAGGUCCCUGCAAGAACAAUCACGUUCAGCGGGUGUCCGUUCUUGAGCUUGAUCGAAUUCUAGUAUUGAUCAAGGGAGCUUAAGUUUAGCUUACCCAGUCGUGGCAGGCGACGAGGAAAUGGUCGGCUCCUCUGGUGCGAUUCCAGAACGGGUACUUGAUGGCCAGGCCCCUGACGAAAUUCCUCAGGUACACGGACAGCGGCCUGAGGUCGUGGGAGUCGGGGACGUAGCGCGUGAGCCUCAGCUGCUGGGAGCUGUAGGGCAGGUAGAAGAGGUGCGCCUUGGUGGCAUCGUCGACGACAUGCCGGCGGCUCUCCUUGAGGAGCUUCAUGAACCAGCCCUCGGAGGCGUAGAUGCCGCUGAGCGGAGGCGUGUGGAAGAUGGGCCUCCGGCCGUCCUGGUAAAUGUAAACUUUGAGUAUCCUUUCCAUCAGUUCAUAGCUCCUGGAUGAUGAUCACAUUGGCUACGAUUAUGAUGCGUGUAGUCGAUGCACGGGAUACAUACAAAUGCAUAGAAAUUUAAAGUUCCAGAUGUGUGUGUGUGUGUUUUUUGCAAAAACGGCAACAUAACAGGAUCAAAAGCAGGCGUAUCACGGCGACAUCAUGUUUCUCACUCUGAGCCUAUUGUGCAGGGAAACAUGCCAAAACGCACGCGAAAAAGUUGGAACUCCUCCAUUCUUGGAGGAAGGAAAGACGCAACGCGGGUGCACUAACAAUUUGCUUGGAUUCCAUGAGAACCGGUGGUUACCUCUUGAACUGGGAGACGUUCUUGAACAGAGGCGCGUACAGGUCAGGGUCGUCGAGCACCGGCUCGGCGUCGCGUAUCUCCUUCUUGGCGUAGCGCAGCGCCUCCUCCGGCGCCAUCCUCCAGUACGACGGCUGAUCAGUACACGGGCGAACGGGUUCAGACCACACACACUAUGAGCGAGGAAACCGACGCUUGGAGCACACUAGCUCCGUCUCACCUCUCGCCUUCGACGCCUCACGGCGGGCGGGGACGGCGGAGGAGGGGGCGGUGUGGCGGGUGCACGAGGCGCUGACAAGUGCGGCGGCGGCUGGUUCCCCACCAACAGUUGUCCGGUGAAGUCGGUCCUUGUGGUGGCGGACGCGCUGGGCGAGGAGGGCAAGGAGAAGGUGAGCAGCGCCGUGGCCGCGCCCGCGGCGAGGAGGAACGCGAGCGCCGCGGCGCGGCAGCAGCAGGCGGAGGGCAUCGUCGUCGUCGCGCCGCGGUGGCGGGGCCGGCGGCGGGGCGGCCCGGCGUGGGAAGCGGCCGGGGGCGCGGCGGCGGAGGGGGCCGGGGCCGUGAGGUGCGGAGGUGGCCGCAUCGCAUCGGUGGGAAGCGGAGGAGGAGGAGCAGACAGACAGACGGGCGGCGAGGAGGGAAGCGCGCGCGGGCGCACGCGUGGUGGGGGUGCUUAUUAGACGCCGUGGAGCAGAGCAAUGAGGUAUUAGCUCCUAUGCACGCUUCUUCGGGGCAGCAUUUUUACCUUGCUCCAGAUGUGGAGAACUGGGAUUCACGCGCCUGUAAAAGCCGUAAAAGUGCACCCGUAAUAUGAGUGCCGAGCAUGAACACAGUUUUUUUUUCUACAGCUGCUAAAAUAAUUCGCAUGGCAUGUCUCAGCAUAAUUAGUGCACCCGUAAUAUGAGUGCCGAGUGCAAACGGCACAGUAGAAACGCACCCUUUGCACUUCUUGUUCAACUUAAAACAAAGCACACCAGCGCAUGCACACUGAGCGAUGCCACAUCGAUACCUAUUGUAUAUACAUCACACAUCGUCGCCAUUUUCAGAACUUCAGCUGUCACGCAUGCCACGUCUGGAAGCUGCCAUGGAUAAAGUCAUAGCGAGCACCAAUCAACUUGAGCGAUCCCUUGGCCAAUUUAUCCUUGACAAAUGGGUAGGUCUUCAGGUUUCUAAGAGACAAAUUGACAGCCUCCUGCACAGCAUUCAGAAAUGCAAAAAGGCAACAUCAGUAUCUAAUAUUCUAAUCCGAUUGGGUUAGAAGUUUCAGUAACUGUGGUUAAAGUGAAAUGAAUCGGCAAAGCGAAGAACUGAAAAUCAUUUUUUUUAAUAGACUCACAAUUUCCAACAUGGUGCAUUUGUCAUCAAAAGACAAAAAGGCAUGUUCUCGCUCCACCUUCUUCUUGAUAGCCAGACCGAUCUUAACCCAAUCGUCAAUGAAGCGGCUAAGAGAUCAAAUGAACAGAGGAAAACUUAUUAGAACAAAAGACACGAUAUUAGUACGGUACCAACUGCUUGAGUCAAGUUUUAAUUAACUCAUUUACUUGGACCCUUUUGUCAUAUACAGCUACACAUGUUUUAUUUGUACCACUAAUGUUGAGGUAGAUCAAUUAGGAGCAAGAUUAAGAUGAUUUCAUACUAGGUGUGAGGUCUAUCUUCCUGCAGAGAGAGGAGUUCCCUGAUUCCACCGCAGCAGCUGUGACCGAUAACCACAAUGCACUUAACCUGCAAAAAGCGUGCAUGUAGUGCUUUUCGUGGUCAAAAGAAAAUCACGCCUCUGUUGUUUCUAGAAGGCAAGGUUUUGCCAGCAAAUAGUAUAGCUGACAAUAUUGUUGAAUUCUUAAAUUAUUCUGUUCCUCUGGACAGAUUACAGUGAGUUAAGAAAACACAUAGAGGUAUACUCAGUGGCGGAACGUGGAGCCAAACCCGGGGGGGGGGGGGGGGCGGGGGGGUGCGGAACUAGUCGUGCACACUGCGCACCUCAUUGUUGGUUGCAGCAGCACAGGGCAGACAAUAGCUGACAAGCAUAUAUGCAUGCAGCAACGCUUGGAGCAAGGAGGGGCCGGAGCCCAGCUUCGCCGCCACUGGGUAUACUAAACAUAGCGGUUCUAAAUAAAAAAACUAUGAACCUAGAACCACCAACACAUGAUAAACAAUAUUUACUUUAUUAAAACAUGCUAACAAUUGGAGAGGACUGCAACAGCUUCCUGAUGUGCAAAUAGUUAUUUUGACUCUCCAUAUGUGCCAUUUGUUUUGUUGUCUCUCACAAUUCAAUGACCAAGUUAACCGCAAACUUAAAAUGGAUGUUCGGAAAGAAACAUGCUAUAAGUCAAAUGGGGGAAGUUCACCUUGAGAAUGGUUACAGCAAACUCAAUGGCUGACGCAACGCUAGAGUGCAUAUUCUGUGGUCAGACAUGAAUGUGCAGGUCAGUUGAUUAUAUAUACCUUCAAAUGUGCAGGCCAAAAUUAUUAGUUCACGAUUAAAAUGUGGAAAAUAUUCUCCACAAGCAUGAACCUGAUGGUAGGCCGGAACCAGGCUGGCAAUGUUACGGACAGUAAAGGCCUCUCCUGGUUUCAGGUCGAGGGUCACUGAUGGGCAUACACGAGAAUCAGAGCACGCAAACACCAUGUACUGCAAGCAAGAACAGAUUAACUGUUAAGCCAGAGAAAAAAAAAACACCCUUGGUAUUAUAGAAGUGCAGUUUUUGCUGAAUAGAGCACAGCACAAUAUCAAAGAGAACAAAGUGGAAUUAUUCAUGUCUACUCCUGCCUAUCAUAUUCGGAAAAUCAAUCAAAGUUGUGCAUGGUGUCCUCCAUACAAUACCAAAAGAACUAAUAAUCUUUUAGUCCCCUCCAGAUAAUAAGCUAGUGCAGCCCUCCUAAGUUGACAACAAUAAAAUCAUAUGAGCUGUGGACUAACCUAAGACCACACAGCCAGGUGUACUGUAAAGAUAUGCGUGAUAGGAGCUCGAAGAGAAAGACCCGUUUGCCUCAUCUAACAGACAUACCACACACGUAUUUGUGUUGUAUACUUGUAACUUUUGGAGACCCACCACAAACUGCCCCAAAACCGAAGCAAUCUAUAUUGCUUUCUUUAAAUACCAGUUUCUUCUUAACUGAAGAAUUGCAGAUUGAUUGUUGUUUUUGAGUUUUCAUGCAGCGUCGAACGAUGAGAUUUCCUAAAUGGUCAUCGCUGUACAAUCUUUGUGUUCAAACAGUGAUAGAGGAAUGAGACCAUAAGUUUAGUUUCUAGAACAUAAUUAAUUCAACACCUAGAGGUAAUUUUACAAAUAAUUAGACUCUUCAAGAGAUUUUUAUAGGACGACGAGCAGUGUAGGUCGAACAACCAACAUGUCGAAGUAGUAGCAGACUAUUGACAUCCACCAAACAGGCUGUUCCAUUCUUUUUUUUUUAGUAGAAGUCCUAUUUGCAAAACUACUAGUGAGCUUAACAUAACAGAUACACACUUUUGCAUUAGCACAUCGACCGGAUGGGGUUUUCGCAGGUAUCAAUCUGAUGGCACAUACCUUUGGGGACUGGGAAGACUUGAGUGGCCCGAACAGCAUGGGGUUUUUACUGCCAACAGCCACCAAAUCAGAAGAACGAACUGAAUCAGGAAUAAACUCAAUCGAAACGCAGAUUCCUCGAGCAUCAGAGCAUACUCACUCAUAGAUGGUCUUCUUAAACGUCCUGAACCCAGCCCUCAACCUCUCCGCGGAGCCCAACCCCUGCAGAGCACGCAGCAGCAGCCGUCAGCCGUCGCGCCACAAGGGGAAAGGGAAACAGCACAAUGCCGGCGCGCGACAAGAGAAUCGCAUCGCUCGGGGACUGGCCUCGCUGUAGGUGACCAUCUGGGCCGGGUGGUGGUGGCCGGCAGCGCUCGAUCCGCCCCCGAUGAGCGGCUCGCGGGCCGGGCUCAACGGGUUCUCCCGAGGCGGCUUGUGGGCGAGGAAGCAGCAGCAGCAUCCCCCCAUCGCCGAUCGCCCCCGCGAGCCGCUCGAGGAGGGAGAGAUCGGUGGAGAGGUGGGCGCCCGUAGCUCGUUGCCUCGGUCCUGACUCCUGAUUUUGCCCGCGGGCCGCAGGGGAAGGGGAAGAGGGUUUUGCAGUUUCGCUCGGGAUGAAACCGAACUUCGGCAGGCUUGGACUCUCGGGUGUUAUCCUGCUCGCCUCAAUUUGGAAAUCAUUAGCCCGAGAGGAUUGAUUUAGGUUCCGUUGGAUUUGAACUGCGAAAGCACAGAAUGGUGAAAGAGAUUCAGAGUUCAGCUCAGGAUCAUCGCGUGGGCCCCGCCGCUGCUUUAAAUCGGGGCAACGAGACGGCCAGAUUUUAGGUUGGCCGUUGUCUCGUGGCUCGUGGUUGGCUCGGGUUCACCGGUUCACCACCAUGUGAGGAGCUAAUGACAGUUGAGAAGGAUUUCCUUUAAAGUUCAAAACCGAUAAAGUAAAAAAAUUAAAUUCAUCCUAUUUCUAGUUUAUUUUAAUCUAACUUUACAAAACGAUUUCACACUUAGUAUCUCGAUUUGCGCAAAACAGAUGAAGUCGAAACUAAAAUAAACCUCCAAAAGAUAUCUUCCCUUUUCCAUUAUUAUUUCUCAGGUUUGGAUAGACCCUGUAAACUAUAAUCAAUACUCUUUCCGCUUCAAAUUAUAGAUCGUUUUGGUUUUUCUAGAUAUAUAAUUUUCCUUAUGUAUCUGAACAUAGCAUAUAUCUAGAUGCACAUAAAUAUCAAAUAUCAUAUAUCUAGAAAAGUCAAAACAAUCUAUCACUUUUUAGAGUUGCUCUAAGUCAAACUAUUUUAAAUUUAAUCAAUUUUAUAUAGAAAACAACUUGAUGAUAAUCUAUGAACCAAAUAAUACACUACGAAAUAUAUAUUUAAGGGGCAUUUUGUAAUAGACUAAUAAUACUAAUUUGGUGUUAUAAAUAGUAGUGCUCUUUUGCGUAAGUUUGAUCAGGCUUGAAAUAGUUUGACUUAAGAGAACUCUAUAAAUUGAUUUAUUCUUUAUGGAGGGAGUACUUCUUUUCAACUAUAAAUAAGAGGAGAAAACCAGGCAAUGCUGCAGCUCAUCACUGGCCAAGCCAACAAGUGCAGAGUGUGCCCUAACCUGCGUGUUGACUUUCUAGCGGGACUUAAAACCAUCUUCUUCGUUGGCAGAAAGCCUUUCAUUCAGCAACACACAUUUACACAGUCACAGGUUUGCAGGGAUAAUAUACACAAGAAUGCUAGGUAGUUGGCCUUAAUCAAUUUUUUUUCAUAAUAAUAACUUGUAGGAAUAGUUGACAACUCAGGGGGCAAACAGGCUUUGCCUUUCACUUUCGUUUUUAACUUUUUUCCAGAUUUUCUAUAUAUGUUUGAUGUUGUUUAAUUUUCAGUGUUCUUCAAACGAAUAAACCAACAGUAAGAUACUUCUAUAGGGCAAAUGACAUUCAAUACAGCAGGAUUGCAAUGUGGGCAGCUAGCACAUCCAGAGGAAACAGGCGACAUAACUACUACUAAGCCCAAGAACACGUCAUGACAGAAAAAAAACCCAAUUAUGCUCUUAACUUCAUGCGGCCCACUUUCAAUGUUUUGUCUUAAUUAUGAAAAAAUAACACGCCAUGACACGUCUUUUCCUUCAGAGGACGAGUUAUAUACGCCAUGACACAUCAUGGAGAGCAGCAAAAGGUAGCAUAAGAAGGUAAACUCUUUCUCUCUUCAUGAUAAUAUGAAUGAAAAGAUCAUUACAGCUGAUGUGUUUUGACCACACGUCGAUCAAACUAUGCAUCAUACAUACAUUAAAAAAGAAGAAGAAAGAACUCCGCGACAGAAAAUUGUAUUGCUUAUUACAGUUCACAAAGAGCAAUCCGGUAUGUGUGUAUAGGGGCAAAUUAGUAGUACUGCUCCACGCAGUCAGAUGUAUCGAUCGGGAGCAUAUAUGUUGUAGCCGUACAUGAUUAACAGCUAGCCUGGUUGGCCGCUCAUGGAUCCCAUGUCUCGAACUUGCCGGAGACGAAGUCGUAGUGGCCGCCGACCAGCUUGAGUGUCCCCUUCUCCAGCCCUUCCUUGACGAACGGGUAGGUCUUGAGGUUCUCGAGGGACACGUUCACGGCCUCCUGCAAGGUAAAGUGUUCAGAGGUCCAACAACAGCCACGCACUCCAUGAGCAAAUCGUUUUCCCGUUGGAGCUCGUCUCCAAGAUGAUGAUCCAGACAGAGGUCUUUUAAUUUCAGAGCAUACCUUUUCCAAGGCGGAGCAUUGGUCUUCGAAGGGGGCCGAGGCGUGGUCGGCCUGCACCUUCGUCUUCGCGGGGCCGCCGAUCCUGACCCAUUCCUCGACGAAGUGGCUGGACAGGGGAUCAAACAGUAAGUAGUGAUGCAAGAUACAGCAAACCAGUUUCAAGUUCUCAACACCGUCGUCAGUUGUCUGAGUCUUCCACACGGAUGCUUACAACUUGUCGGGCUCGCCGUCCUUGAGCGAGAGGAGCGCCUUGAUCCCGCCGCAGCGGCUGUGGCCGAUGACCACGAUGACCUCCACCUUGAGGGCGCAGACGGCGUACUCGAUAGCGGACCCGACGCCGGCGUACCGGGUCUGCAAGCAGAACGUGCGUGAGCGGUCGAGCCGACGACGAUGCCUGCCAGCGGCGGCGACAUGCUGCGAGAACUACCAGGCGCGCGUACCUUGUCGUAGGGUGGGACCAUGCUGGCGAUGUUGCGGACGGAGAAGGCCUCGCCGGGCUGCAGGCCCAGGGUCACCGACGGGCACACGCGGGAGUCGGAGCAGGCGAACACCAGGUACUGCACACAACCAUGAAUGGCAGCGAACAGUCAGCAGCCGGGUUACCGAUCCUCUGACCCUGACGGCCAUUGCUCUCCCUAGCUGGCUAGUAGCUCCUACUUCCUAUCAAGGGUUAAGCCCAAGACGGGGGAUAGGAACAGUAACAUGAGGCUCCUUUCAGAAAUAAAAAGUAACAUGAGGCCGGCCUACUUUAUUUGCGAGUGACGACAAGGUGGACCGUGGCUAGAAAAAUGUAUGGAAUCUUUAGUUCGAGGCUUCGGGCAACUAGCAGGAUUCGACAUUUCCGACUACAUAUACUUUAGAGUCCCCAUCAAACUCUGUUUUUUGAAGAGUCCCAUCGAACUCUGUUUCUUUGAAGAGUCCCAUCAAACUAUGUUGUUAUUUUACAUAAAGAUUGGGAUUAGUUUAGGCCAAAAUUUUCAUACUUUGACCCUUAAUCUUCCUUAAAAAAACUAUAUAAAUCAACUAUGUAAAACUGAUGUUACUAAGUCCACCAUGAAAAAUAUUUCAAUAAAUGUAACUCUUCAAAUAAUAUAUCUCCAUGGAUAUAGCUUGCCAAAGUAAGGUAAUGAAAGAUCGUGUGUCAAAACCAGGCGAGCCACAGAUAUGCAGAUUUCUAAUAAAGAGUUACGUGUGGACCAUAUCAUAUUUAAUUUCUUUCUAAUAUCUUUUUUUUCUGGAUGAUGGUCUAUCUUCUAAUAUCUAUAGAUGAUGUAUAUCUGCCGUUCUUAGCUUCUUGUAGCUGCUGAUAGCCAUUUCUGAACAUCUUUUUUAUUCUGGCGCACGUAUUACUCAUUUGGUCAACUUCUACCGCUUCUUUUUUUUCCCUCAUUUGGUCAACUUUGACCUCGAUCAAAUGCUGCGUGCACACAUUCGCAGGCGGCGUUGGACGCGGAUAGGGGGGGCCGCUAGAUCAACGGCAGGGUUGGUGGCAAAUGGGGACCCGUGAUUCCCGAUGUGCUAUCUAGUACGGGAAAACGGUUGUGUUGCCGGCCGGAUCCCCUCAGGAUAUUCCGAAUUUACUAUGAACGCAGAAACUGGCCGCUACGAGCUUCGAAAAUUUUGGUGGUGAACAAGAAUGCAAGAUAUAUUUCUUUACUCCAUUCUACAGUGCAUACCUUGGGGGACUGGUGGGCCUUGAGCGGCUCGAACGUCUCCGGCUUCUUGCUGCCGAUCGACAGGGAGACGGGUCGUCAAAGAGUCAAUUCACUUCACAUCGAGCAGGAGGCUUGGGAGAAUAGAGAGUAGCUUGGAUCACUUACUCGUAGACAUCGGCCUUGAACUGCUCGAACCCGGUCUUCAAGCGCUCGACGGCGUCCGCCAUGGCCUCCUGCAAGAGCCACAGAUCAUGUCGUCAACACAGCUGUGCCGUCCGUCCACAACAAGAUCACCAGAUGCGUCAUGCAGAUUUCUCGGGGUGGGGGGGGGGGGGGGAGUCAUGCGAAUUGCGAGCGACGAGUCUAGAAAGGGAAAGAAGAUGGGUUGAAGCAUGGAGGAUGGAGGAGGAGGGGGCUGACCUUUGGGCUGCAGAGGAGAGCAGGUGGUGAACUGUGGAAGGAUUGACGAAGACUGUGGAAGGCUUUGCUUCGCUGUAGAGCUGCCCCGUCCAUGCCUCCCCGGGGGACCUUUUUUAUAGGAGGGGGGAGGCACGGGAAGCAGCGGCUCGCCUUCUUUUCCUGCCCCCCCGGUCGUGCAGCUGGACGGAUGGACGCGGGGAACGGCGAACCGGUCCAGCACGAGACGUGUCAUCGUGCGGGACGGGGUACACCACUAACCCACCGAGCUUCCAAAGGUCCAUCCUGCAGGCCGCCUUCGCCUUGACCUCCGGCUGGCCGCGGCCGGGCAGGCGUGGCGCCGGGCUUGGGGUGCCGUCCUUCCCCGGGGAAACGAGGAGGACGAUGGAGAGGCUGGAGCCGGAUGGGCUGAACGCCGCGGUGGACACGGCUCACGACGCGUGGCGCCCUGCCGGUUUAGCGGAGCCGGAGAAAACGAGGGGGCGCGGUGUGAAGACCCAAGAGGUAAAUACUUAAUUUUAUUUAUUAACUAAUCCACUAAUUAGUAAUUUUGAAGAACAUAAGUAUUAAAAAUCCAUGAGAGAAAUUGGAUCUCGUAACUGAUCAUCAAAUUACCUCACCCCCUUCUCAUUUCUCAAAUAUUCUAGCACAUAUAUAUAGAUAUAUAUUUAUCUUUAUCCAUUAUAGAAUUUAGUUAGAAAUUAAUCUAUGCACUCUUCAUCGUCGUUGAUAGUUUUCUUUUUGCAUGGCAUCUGCAUCUGGGUUUGACAUUUUUCUAACUAAAUUCUUAGUUUGGGCUAUGUGUUUAACAUGGAAAUUGGUGCUAUCAUAGCUUCCUGCAUAUACAGGGGUGGAUCCGACCCACUUGGUGCUGUUACUUGAUAGCAAUGGAUUUUUAAAAUCCAAGGCUAAAGUUAUCUUGAUAUUAGAGAAAAUCAUAUCGUAAAUUUGACACUAGUGACAUCAAUGGUUCUCUAUUCUAGAUUACCGCCUAUGUAGAUAUGUAUACAUGGUCUAAACCGUAAGUUAGUAUCUUUAUAACAGAAAUAAAUAAUUUAGAAUUUUUUAUUGGUGUGCACUGGGAUACUUUUUUAUAAUGAUAGAUGCAGUUAAUCAAGAAGCCAAUUUAGGGAUUAUUUUCAAUUGUUUUUAGUAAUAGCACAUAUGGAUAAUUUAUAUAUAUAGAUUUAGGAUGUUACUUUAUUAGAUGAUUUUUAUACUAAAAUGGCAGCGACGGGCUACUUUUUAUGCAUGUCCAUGAAGCAUACAACCAAGAAAAUGUUGUAAUGAAACUGAGAUCUUAGUAAACCUUGUGCUUUUCACGAGCAUACAACCUUGCAAUUUCUCAUAUUAAUACUAAGGUACAUAUCUGUCUGGUGUAUACGAGAGGGGGGAAAAAAAGAAUGUGCAACCAAAGCAGAGACAAAAAGAACAUGAGCAACCAUUUAGAGAUCUACUGGAAGGAACAGAGAGCAAGCAACCAAACUUUACUUCUGGUUUAAAGCGUGUGAUCAAUGUGGAUUAUUACUGUUGAUUUUUCUAGCUUAUUAGCAUGCACUGUAGCACGCAAAAGCACAUAGGCAUAAAGACCCCCCCCCCCCUCUGUUGAGUGCAAGAUUUUCAGAAAGUUUAGGGGUCAACUUUCUUAAUCUUUUUUUGUGAAGACAGCUUUGUAGUACAAAAUCAUUCAUGUCUCACAUAAAAAUGGUAGCACCAGCAUUUCAGGGAGAGAGAGAGAGAGAGAAGGGGCAUCAAGAUGUAGUAGAAAGGUAAAGUAUGCAUGAUAGUAUUAUGAAAAAGGCUUAUACAGCUGAUGUCUCUUGACCACAAAAGCGGUCUAAUUACGCACCAUAUAUAUUACAUAUAAGCUCCACCUUAGAAAUUAAAGCAGUAGAAGCUGCUAUUGCUUAUUACAUUCACAGAUAGGACGAUCCGGUUUGUAGCUGUCGAAAUAGGAGGUAAGUCCUCCACGCGUUGACAUCGACCGGGUGCAUAUACGUCGGUAUGUAUGUAUCUGAUGUAGUAGGAGUUUGCGGCCUAUUUCUCCCAUGUGUCGAAGAUUCCGUUCACGAAGUCGUAGCGGGCACCGACCAGCUUGAGGGUCCCGUUGGCCACGCCUUCCUUGACCCAGGGGUAGGUCAAGAGGUUCAAAAGGGACACGUUCACGGCCUCCUGCAGAAACAUUCAGAAAUGCAGGAUCCUCUCAUGAGCAAACCAAUUCGAUCUUUAUGAAAUCACGCGCGUAUGGGCAGCGGGUAACCAAAGAUCGCCAUGGCAACCAGGUCGUAGCCC
rnacentral:lncRNA from 1 species